UGGACUGUCGUUUGGAUUUAUCAAAUCCUGCCCACUCCCAUCCCCCUUCGUCCUUCAACUCUGAAUGAACAUCCGAAACAUGAAAAACUUUUUACAAACAAACAUUUUACAAACACUAAAUAAGCGCCGGACUUAACCUUUGUGACCGAGAAGUCAUGGAAUGAGAACAACUAACCCCUUCGUACACGGUGUGUACAUAUGUACAUAUGCCUUUAAAACGUUUUUUUUUCACAUGAAAAGUUGUGGACAAGUUUUUUAAACACCGGAAAUAAAUUUAUCGACCUCUUCUUUGUUUAUUAUACACCGUAUUUUACACAGAAAGGAAGCGAAUAUUUUUUAAUUUCAACUUGAAUCCAGUUGGUCAAAUAGCCCGAUUUGAAAACACCCUAUUAGAUCUUUCUGUUGAGGAUGUGUUACAACAGAACACUGCCUAACUCACUGCCUGGUUGUAUGAUGAUCAUCUGUUCGAAACCUGUCCGGUUCCAUCCCUGCUGUCCUUCAAGAGAUUUAGGCUAGGACGAAAUAUUACUACUUAAUAAUCUUCAUGACCACACACAGUGACAUCUAACUGUGAGAUCUUUAUUACAACAGAUCGCUGCCUCGUCGUUUGGUUUCGAAAUGCCAUCAUGAUGGUCACUUUUUUUAAUCCUGCACAAUUCCAUCGCCCUGCUGUGUCCUGCAGGGUUUUGUACUAAGAUGUAAUAUUAUUACUUAGAAUACCAUGUCUCCCCCCAGAGGCAAUCUACUGUUGAGGACUUAUAUUACAACGGAUCACUGCCUUCGUUCUGUAUGGGCUUCGAAGUGUCGUCUUAAAUGUCACCUGUUCAAACCCUGCCAAUGACUGUCCCCUGCUGGCCUGCAGGAGGUUUGUGCCAGGAUGUAUUAAUAUUUAAUUAUGUCUUCACCAAGAAGCAUUCUACUGUUGAAGACUUGUUCAACGAAUCACUGCCUAAUCGUUUGGUUUGGGUUUCGGACUGUUGUCUUAGAGGAUUAGAGGUCACCCAUUCAAACCUUGCCUACUUCCGUCCCCUGCAUAUCCUGAAUGAGGUUUGUGCUAGGAUAUAAUUAUCAUGUCUACACCCACAGACAUUUUACUGUUGAGGACUUAUUGCAACGAGUCACUUCAUGGUCAUUUGGUAUGAGCUUCGGACUGUCUUCAUGGUGGUCAUUUGUUUGAACCCUGCACUUUUCCAUGCCCUGGUCACUGAAACCUCAAACUUCAUUGAAGCUUAUUAUAAAUAUUAACAAUUCUUAAGCUAUCUAGAUUAUAUACAAUGUGAGAAUAUAUUUAUGUACUGUUGUGCUGUUAGAAAGAGAGAUCCUAUUCAAACAUGGUCUUUUUCUUAUUUCGCAGCCUCAGAUGCCACAAACAAGUGUUUGUCAACCCUGAUAUAACUGUUUGUGAAAACGUGUGUGUGAAUGUGGGCUUGCUUUAGGCUUCUUUUGAAGCAUGUAUCUGAAAAGUUGUUGCUGAAUUAAGUCAAAGGUGUACAAAUGGUAGGAUGAGAUACAAUGGGCGAAGCUGAAUACUCAAAAUGCUAUUUUUAUGUAGUACUAGUAAGAAAAAAGUGAUUUUUAGAAUGCCAUUUGCUUAAUAAAAUAAAUAGAUUUGAUAAAAGUAAAUAAAUAACUUGAUUUAUA